UACGUAGGGUGCGAGCGUUAAUCGGAUUUACUGGGCGUAAAGCGUGCGCAGGCGGUUGUUUAAGUCAGGGGUGAAAGCCCUAUGCUCAAAAUAGGGAUUGCCUUUGAUACUGAACGGCUAGAGUGAAGAUGGAGUGGGUGGAAUGUGUUGUGUAGCGGUGAAAUGCAUAGAUAUAACACAGAACACCUAUCGCGAAGGCAGCUCACUAAUUUUCAACUGACGCUCAUGCACGAAAGCGUGGGGAUCAAACAGG
rnacentral:rRNA from 1 species